CUUGGCAGUUGAGAUUCAGACCUUGACAGUUGUAACCGAUAGACUGGGCUGGGGCAACGCUGAUGAAAGGCAAAUUCCUGAGAGAAAAAUCACCCAGAUUUUUCAGUGCCUUCUCUAGCUUUCUAGAAGUUGUUAUGAGUGGACCUGACUACCUAGAGAGAGUAAUACAGAAGCUCCGUGCCGAUCACAGCUACCUCAUUACCAUGUUCCUCCAAGAUGGCCGCCCCUGAGGAGAAUCAUCAACUGGGCUUUACGGAAGAGAGAAAUCCAAACGACCAUCAGCAACAAAUGAAAGACUGAAGUUGAAAGGAAAUCCAUAAUUUUUGAAUGCUGGCCGAGGUCUGUGACCUCUGACUGAAUGGUUUCCAAGCUCCGAAUUCCUAGGUGAUGUUUUCAUUUGUUCACACUUGCUGAAGAAGGGAAAGGCUCUCUGAUUUACGUGUAAGCAAAACAAUCUAAACAGUAGGAUAAAAUCAUGUUGGAAUGGAGUUCUGUGUGGAUGCUCCUUUGAACCAAAUCAGUUCCACAACUGACCCUGUCAGGGACAUAUAAAUUUAGCAUUUUGGUGUGGAUACAGAAGACGAGAUUAACACAGAUCAAGUAACAUGGAAAUAAAAAAGGAGACAAUGCUGGAUGAUACAGGGGCAGCCAACAAGAGGAGAAAACCCAAGCAUUGGCAAAUGCCUCAUUAUCCAAAGAACACUGAGGUGUGGAGCAAAACUGUGUUGAAUGAACUGUAGAUGGAAAUUCUCUCCUUCCCACCGAGGAGCCGCUGCAGGUUGCAGACUCCCAGAAUGCCACACUGAGAAGAGGAGGGCUAAAAUUCUAGAGCAGAAUCCCUGGGGCAGCCCCUGCUGAAGAAGGGUGCAUCUGUUGAGAAUCUCAUCACCGCCCCCACCCCGCCCAGCCUUCAAUUUAGAGGAAUUUCUAGUUCACGCAGAAUGAAGACAAGAUCACAUAAGUGAGGACGACGCCCCAUUUACAAGUGUGAUUUGGAAGACUGAAGUGGAAACCUUGGGAAGGGGCCUCAGAGUAUGUCAGCUGGGGUCAGACGGGAACAGGAGUCUGGCUCAACACACAUUUAUUGCACUCCUGUUUCAUGCCAAGAAAUGUACCAAAAUCUGGGACUGUGUAACACAGCAAAGGAAAAGACUCAUCUCCAGGAAGCCCCCUUGUCUAGGAAGAGAAAUUGAAUAUCAGCAUAAGGUGGUGAAAAGCUGUGAAGGAGAUGAGUGCCAGGAGUCCAUGGAGGAAGGAUUCUAGCCUGGACAGGUGAUUGUGGUGAAUAGUCAUGAGAAUCUGGGAACUGGCUCCUGCUCUGUCUAUCUUGGAGAUGCAUCUUUUGUGAGAAGCCAGGGCAAGAAUAGGGAGGCUUAGGCAAUGGGAAGUUUCUGAGUAGAUAAAGCAGAUGGCAGAGCAAAGGGACAGAGCCUGGCGAGAGGCUACUCCCUGUAGCAACCUGCCUAAGAGUGAGAGGAAAGCAAGGCAUGGCUAUGAGCACGUGUAGUCUCAGCUACUUGGGAAGCUGAGGCUGGGGGAUCACUUGAGCCCAGGAGUUCAAGACCAGCCUAGGCAACAUAGUGAGACCAUGUCUCUUUAAAAAAAAAAAAAAAAAGAAAAA
ensembl:lncRNA LINC01206 long intergenic non-protein coding RNA 1206